rnacentral:rRNA from 1 species
GAUUAACGCUGGCGGCGUGCCUAACACAUGCGAGUCGAACGAUGAAACUUAAAUGAUUUCUUCGGAAUGAACUUAAGUGGCUUAGUGGCGGACGGGUGAGUAACGCGUGAGUAACCUGCCUUACACAAGGGGAUAGCCGUUGGAAACGACGAAUAAUACCCUAUGAAACUAUCACUUCGCAUGAAGCGAUAGUCAAAGUGUUAGCGGCGUAAGAUGGACUUGCGUCUGAUUAGCUAGUUGGGGAGAAAAAAGCCCACCAAGGCAACGAUCAGUAGCCGGCUUGAGAGAGUGUACGGCCACACUGGGACUGAGACACGGCCCAGACUCCUACGGGAGGCAGCAGGGGGGAAUUUUGCACAAUGGGGGAAACCCUGAUGCAGCGAGGCCGCGAGAUUUAGAAGGCCUUCGGGUUGUAAAAAUCUUUUGUAUAGGAAGAAAAUGACAGUACUAUACGAAUAAGGACCGGCUAAUUACGUG